ensembl:lncRNA
UUAUAGUGUAGUAUACCACAGCAUGGUAUAGUAUAGUACAGUACAUUAUAGUGUAGUACUGUACAGUACAGCAUGCUAUAAUAUAGUACAGUAUAGUAGAGUACUGUAUAAUAAAGUAUAGGACAGCAUAGUAUAGGACAACAUAUAGCAUAGUAUAUUAUGGUUAGAUAAAGUAGCUAUAGUGUAGCAUGGUACAGUUCAGUAUAGUGUAGUAUAGUAUAGUACAUAAAAUAUACACAGUAUAUCAUAAUACAGUUUAGUAUAGUAUACUAUAGUAAAUAUAAUGGCCAUAUAGUACAGUAUAGAAGAGUACAGCAUGGUAUAGUAUGGUACAGUACAUUAUAGUAUAGUAUAGUAUAGUAUAAUACAGCAUUCUCAGAUCUUCACCAAAAUCACACCGUGCCUUAAAGCACUCAAGACUAACACAGUAGUGCAGUUAGUUUCAUCCCAACACACUCCAAAGUCUAGAUAUAGUGCAGUGUAUUGUAGUAUGUAUAGUAGUACAGUAGUAAUUAUAGUGUAGUAUAUUACAAUACAGUAUAGUAGUGUAGUAAUGUAGUGUAGUAUUGUAUUGCAUAGUACAGUACAGUACCAGAAGUGUAGUAUGGUGUCGUAUACAGUAGUAUGGUUGUUAGUAUUAGUCACACUGUGUGUGUGCAUGUGUGUGUUUCCGUGUCCACAUCCUGCCGUGUUAACGUCUGGGGUCUUCCGCAUUACUCCGCAUCGUCUACGGGUGUGCUACAUCAUUUGUGAUUUGUCAGGUGUCCACAUACUUUUGGCAAUAAAGUGGAUUUAGUAAUAUUGUUAUAUUAGUGAAAUGAAGAAUAUAUACGCUUCUUUCAUCACUGCUUCCAAAACAUCUGGGACCAGGUCCAGUGGAACACAAUUACAUCUAAACUAAAUUACAUCCACCUGCCAGGGAUAUUCAUUCAUUGUCAUGUGAUGACAUAGGCAACACCGAGGUGAAAGAGUCCAAUCUGGCAACACGCACAUCCAGCUAAGAUCAAUUCACUUUAGUGAGGUCAAAAACAUUUGGACAUUUUAUUUUUAUUAUUACAUUCCCCAUCCAUUAAACUGAAAUUGUGUCACGCACAGAUUUCAAAACAUUGUUUAAUUCUGACAAAAACUAGGUAAAUAACGUGAGGUGUUAGUCUAAGAAAAAAU